UCCUUGCAGGCCCUGGGACUGUGUGGUCAGUGGGCGUGACCCUGUAUAACCUCGUUUGCGGCGGCGAUCCCUUCACUUCUUACACCAGCAAGGGAAUGCGACAUGUGGAGAUCAGUGCCGGGCUGUCACCAGAAAUCAAGGACUUCAUUUGCUGUUGCCUGAGGCCCCAGGCAAGAGACCGACCCACCCUGGAGCAGCUGCAACUCCACCCCUGGAUCCUGAAACACUUCUAAUACCCAAAAAGACUCGACAAGGCCCCCCGAAUACUUGCCAACUGAGUGUUUCCAGAAAGAGGACCAGCCCACCCUGGAGGAG